ACAACUAAACAAUGAUUUUAAUAAUCUGUUUAAAACAACUUUCAACAACGGAUCUCUUGGUUCUCGCAUCGAUGAAGAACGCAGCGAAAUGCGAUACGUAAUGUGAAUUGCAGAAUUCAGUGAAUCAUCGAAUCUUUGAACGCACAUUGCACUCCUUGGUAUUCCGAGGAGUAUGCCUGUUUCAGUAUCAUGAGCACUCUCACACCUAACCUUUGGGUUUUGUUGUGGAAUUGGGAUGCGCCGAUUUCAAUAGUCGGCACUCCUAAAAUGUAGUUCUUGGCUGUUUCCUACUACAGCAGUUUGGCCUAAUAGUUUUGACUUUUGUCAAAUCUUUGGCUACAUUUGCUUCUGGAAAUCAGUCUUGAUAAUACAGAAAACUCAUUCAAACUUGAUCGAAUC
rnacentral:rRNA from 1 species